GAUGAACGCUGGCGGCGUGCUUAACACAUGCAAGUCGAACGAUGAAGCUAGAGCUUGCUCUGGUGAAUUAGUGGCGAACGGGUGAGUAACACGUGAGUAACCUGCCCCGAACUCUGGGAUAGCUGCUGGAAACGGUAGCUAAUACUGGAUACGACCUACGAAGGCAUCUUCUGUAGGUGGAAAGAAUUUCGGUUCGGGAUGGACUCGCGGCCUAUCAGCUUGUUGGUGAGGUAAUGGCUCACCAAGGCGACGACGGGUAGCCGGCCUGAGAGGGUGACCGGCCACACUGGGACUGAGACACGGCCCAGACUCCUACGGGAGGCAGCAGUGGGGAAUAUUGCACAAUGGGCGCAAGCCUGAUGCAGCAACGCCGCGUGAGGGAUGACGGCCUUCGGGUUGUAAACCUCUUUUAGUAGGGAAGAAGCGAAAGUGACGGUACCUGCAGAAAAAGCACCGGCUAACUACGUGCCAGCCGCCGCGGUAA
rnacentral:rRNA from 1 species